rnacentral:rRNA from 1 species
UGAGGAAUAUUGGUCAAUGGACGCAAGUCUGAACCAGCCAAGUAGCGUGCAGGAUGACGGCCCUAUGGGUUGUAAACUGCUUUUAUAUGGGGAUAAAGUGGGGAACGUGUUCCCUUUUGCAGGUACCAUAUGAAUAAGGACCGGCUAAUUCCGUGCCAGCAGCCGCGGUAAUACGGAAGGUUCGGGCGUUAUCCGGAAUUAUUGGGUUUAAAGGGAGCGUAGGCCGUUUGGUAAGCGUGUUGUGAAAUGUAGGAGCUCAACUACUAGAUGGCAUCGAGAACUGUCGGACUUGAGAGCGCACAACGUAGGCGGAAUUCAUGGUGUAGCGGUGAAAUGCUUAGAUAUCAUGAAGAACUCCGAUUGCGAAGGCAGCUUACGGGGGAGCAACUGACGCUGAGGCAGGAAGGGGCGGGUAUCGAACAGG